GGAUAAGUUAGAAAGGGCGCACGGUGAAUGCCUUGGCACUAGGAGCCGAUGAAGGACGCGACGAACCGCGAUAGGCUUCGGGGAGCUGUAAGUAAGCUUCGAUCCGGAGAUUUCCGAAUGGGGGAACCCACCAUCCGUAAUGGGAUGGUACUGGCAUCUGAACACAUAGGAUGUCGAGAGGCAGACCCGGGGAACUGAAACAUCUAAGUACCCGGAGGAAGAGAAAGCAAAUGCGAUUUCCUGAGUAGCGGCGAGCGAAACGGAAACAGCCCAAACCAAGAGGCUUGCCUCUUGGGGUUGUAGGACACUCAACAACGGAGUGAUCAAGAAACGGAGUAGGUGAACUGUCUGGAAAGGCAGGCCGAAGAAGGUAACAGCCCUGUAGCUGAAACUUCGUUUCCUCCAGAGUGGAUCCUGAGUACGGCGGGACACGUGAAACCCCGUCGGAAUCCGGGAGGACCAUCUCCCAAGGCUAAAUACUCCCUAGUGACCGAUAGUGAACCAGUACCGUGAGGGAAAGGUGAAAAGCACCCCGGAAGGGGAGUGAAAGAGAUCCUGAAACCGUGUGCCUACAACUAGUCAGAGCCCGUUAACGGGUGAUGGCGUGCCUUUUGUAGAAUGAACCGGCGAGUUACGGUAUCGUGCAAGGUUAAGCUGAUGAAGCGGAGCCGCAGCGAAAGCGAGUCUGAAUAGGGCGC
rnacentral:rRNA from 1 species